UAGAGUAACAUCUAUAUUUCAUUAAUUAAUUACAUUUCUUUUGUUUUCUAAUCUAUUUUUUGUGCUUUUUUUAUUGAACCUUGUGUCCAAUGGAAAGUUGGAAAGUCGUUGCCUGCACUGUCUGCUCUGACAUCAAGUGAAGGAGGAACCUCAGCAGGCCGAUCCAGGCUGCUGGUCGGUGAUUGGUCGGAGGAGGAUGUGUCAGUGUGGCUGGUGGAGGAAGGCCUCGGGGGAUUGGUGGACACAUUUGCGGCCAACAACAUAGAUGGGACAGAGCUGCUCAGUCUCACCAAGGAAACACUGGCGUCAGAGCUGCACAUAGAGUCAGUAGGCCUGCGCAAUAAACUCCUGAGGAAGGUGGCAGAGCUGAAGAGUGAUUCAGUGUGUUCAGGCAUUCCUGAUGAGUUCCUUUGUCCAAUCACCAGAGAGCUUAUGAGGGAACCUGUCAUUG